ACGCCAUACGCAUUUGCCCGCACGUUGUUUUGUGCUCUGUGUUUCUCAAUAAAUUCCUUAUUCCUACAAAACCCCCCAAAAUUAAAGAAGGAUCAAACCGACCCUUUGCAAUUCCAAGACACAAGAACCAAGAGACAUACCACGAUGGCAACAACGACGGAGAAGCAAGCCAUGGUUGUUGGAAUCGACGACAGCGAGCACAGUACGUACGCGCUGCAGUGGAUCCUCGAUCACUUCUUUGCUCCUUUCGCUUCCAAUCCUCCUUUCAAGCUCGUCAUCGUUCAUGCC
rnacentral:lncRNA from 1 species